ensembl:lncRNA
UGGUUGCUGGAGGAUGCUAGCAGUGGCUGUGAAAUUGAUUGCUAAAACUCCAUGGAAACAGGCCCAAGAGACCGGUCAGUGAGUGAAAACCUUGAGUUUGCUUCGGUUGCAGGCAGUUUGUCGCUAGUUGGUUGGUAAAUGUAAUCUUGGCUAGAAAUACUCACACACUAUUUGUCAAGUGGUUGUGAAACUGUGACCAGUGUGACGCAAACAAGACAUGGAGAACGUUUACCUUUAAAGCACCUUUCAAAAAAUGUUAGUUGCAGUGGUAAGGCACAACUUUUUCUUUGAAGGCAAAUGUUCUUUUUCUCUGGUUUGCAUCACAUUCUUUCAAGUUUCACAGUGUGUUCGCAGACAAGUCGGUGUAUUUUAUGAAAACUGACCAAAACAAUUGCAAGAAUGUUUUUGGUGCACCACCCUUUUUGAAAAUAAUCUGACCUAGCGACAGUCAGCAACUCCUAGAAACCUUUUGCCAACUAGUUGGGGAGUACACAUUUUGUCUUAGCAACCAGAGGUUGCCAGUGGUUCACUGACCGGCCCCUUAGGCCUGUGUGAUUCAGGCCUAAGAUGAUAAGAUGCUACAAGAGUCUGCAGCUCUGAACGUGCAUUGACAGUUUCAUUGCACUGUGCAGCUUUUAACUUGAACCAUCGCACAUUUAUUGCAUAUCAAGUCAGAAAAAAACAGUAGAUUUAAAAAAAAAUAAUGGGUUUAAGUUUACAGUAGUCCAUAAAAGUUUUUUUAAGAGUAUGCAUAGUACAUUAUUGUGUGGACAGUGCUAAGUGAUACGUGAAGUGUACCAAAUGAUCAGUAGGAAACUUCACAAAAGGAGGAAAUUUGACUCAGGACUGUAUAUGUUGUAAGGCUAAAACGGUGAUAGUGGGUCGACCUGCUCUCCAUAGAAGAGCACUCUAUGCCUUUUGUAAGUUUGAAGCAUCUUGCAUGGAAUUCAUAGUCCACGGCAAUCUUAGGCUCUUCUUUGCCUAGCUUUCCACGGCUUUAGUGUCGAUCAUGCAUGAUCGGUGAAAUAGCCCGUUUGAUGCAUUGCUAAUGCUUUAUGUGUUAAACACUUAAGAAGUGGCAGCUCUUCAAUUUUCCAUCAGUUUACAUCUUUGGCCUAAGUGGAGGGUAAAUAUUCUCUCGGUAUUAAAAAGGGUUAUUUAUUGUCCCCUGUAGCCAUCUGUUAUUCCAACCAUGCCCUAUGUAGUAAAACAUUUUUACUGUGAUGUUAUAUUUUUGUAUGCUAAUUUGUUACGGUGCAAGCUGCAGCAAUAACAUUGAUAUUUUGAGAGUUUAGAGUUAUAUCUCUGCGGCAGGACAUAUAGAGUUUUAUAUCAACCAAAUGCAUGUCAUUAAUACAGAUUUUCCAGGGAUCUGUUGUAGCACUUGAACCUGUAAAGUGGAUGAUUGCAUUGUGACCAUGCAGCGCUAUUGUAUGAUAUCAUGCAAAAAAUACCGUCUUUUGGCCUUCCGUUUACUAAUGUGGUAAAUAUGCACUAAUAAUAAUGCAAGAAUUCAAAGACCAUGUCUGCUGUAAUAAUGCCGUCAGUAACUCCAGUGGCCUUAUAUUGUAAUUAAAUAAUUGACGAAUGUAAUGAAUGAAUUGUUUUUUUUUCUUUUAAUAAUUAGUAGAUCUAAUAAAUGGACUACAUUUGA